rfam:Guillardia theta CCMP2712 unplaced genomic scaffold GTITHscaffold_27, whole genome shotgun sequence.
GGACCUAUGGUCUAGUGGUUAUGACUCUGGACUUUGAAUCCAGCAACCGGGGUUCGAAUCCCCGUAGGUCCU